rnacentral:miRNA from 1 species
AGUGCACCUGGGCAAGGGUUCUGU